AAACAAUAUAUUAUAAUUAUUUAUUAUCUCUUCCAUACCUUAGUUAAUGUUAGAUGUGGGAUCUCUGCUUCCAAAUCGGAAGUGCUAGACGUACAGAAUGGUUCUUUUACAGAACCUUCACAAAAUGACGUGUCUAGCACUACCGAACGCAUUUUCCCACAGAACAAAGCCCCAAUAACAAAAGGAAACAACAAUAAAGGAAGGAAACAAAAAUUCUCCCACCAUUUAGAACUCUAAAAAUUGUCUCCACCUCUGCCCGGUCAAAAUCUACCUCCGGCAGCCAGAUCGACGAAUUGCCGCAGCAAAAUCCACAUUCGGCAGCCUGUGGAGUAAUGUCCACCCAGCAUCUGAUAUCUUUUAGCUUCAGGUAAGCCGAAUUCCACUUCUUCUUUUAGUUGUUUCCAAAAGCUGGUGUUGUUUGGUAAUUUUGGGAAUAUGGUGGUGUAUAUGGAAGAUUAUGAUUAUCAACGUUGGGCAAUGAUUCUUACUCUGCGCUCCAUUUUGCUGGAGGAACAUUCGUGGAAUACUAGUGUAGUCCACAAAAAAGUAAUAUUACUUUUGGUUUUUCCCGUUUGAUGGUUGAAAAGGAUAUUCGGGUUAGGGUGUGGGGGCCGGUGGGUUCCAAAUCGAAAUCAGUAGUUGUUCAUGGUGGUAACCGACCAGAAAUGACAGAUUCUUAAAUUACUUUAUCAAACCGUGCGAAAUUCUUCACCAAUUUGUUAAAAGCUUUCCACUUUUGGAAACGAAGGGUCCUUGAGGCCCUUAUGAGCAACCCUUUUUCAUCUUUAUCUCUUGCAUCUGUUUGUAAUCAAUUUCCAUCUUUUACUUAACCAAUUUUUAUCUCAUUGUAACCAAAUUUCCAAUAUGGCUCACUACAGAGUUAGAACACUCUAUUCCAGCAUUUUCAUUAUCUUCCAGUUCUUCCCUUGUGUAAUCUUCAUCAUCACUCCCCGAAGACUCCAAUACUUGUUCCUUUUCUUUUAUUUACAAAUAUUCCUCGGCAACGAUUUUGAUUCUGUAUAUCCAACUUCCUUUUUCCUUCUUGAACAUUUUGUAAGAUGUGUCGUGCCUCUUUUACAACCUUGCAAUUAGAAAUCAAAGAAAAAUUAUUAAUAUCGACAUCAUCAAAUAGAGCAUUUAAGCAGGCAGAAUUCUAGUCUCAAUUUUUUAAUUCACUUGUAUAGAAACCAUCAAUAUUUAGACCACCCAUAUUCCAAUCAACGUUAAAAAAAGAUUUAUCAUAUUCAUUAUCAGUAGGUGGUUUCCAAUCAAUCUCUAUGGAUAAAUAUACACAUGGAUCAAUUGAUUGGAGAAAAUUUCUCAUUAAAAAAUUUCGAUAGUGGGGUUGUGGUUAUUUUGAUAAUUUGCCAAGUUGAAACUGUGGUAUAUUUUCCAAAUUUUGUUGCUGCAUUAUAGCAUUAUAGAAUUUUGUUGUAUUUCUCACGUUGCCGAAUUCACAAUUUUUUUUCCUUCAAGGAUGAGGGGGAGGAAUGUUGGUGUCUACUACCGCUGUAGAAGUACGGACCACUCCUUCCUCAAUUGCCCGAUAAAAUGACGAUGCCCAUGGUGUACGCACGGACUGCAAAAAUAUUUUGAAGUUGAAAGGGAGAUAAAGAACAAAUGGCAGUUAUUCAAAACAUGUAGUGUUAACUGUGGGUAUUUUGAUUGGGUCGUAAACAAAGAAUUAAGCGGUGAAUCUAGCACUACUAAUGAAGCAGUGAACCCAAAGCCAUCGAGGAAGCCGAAGAUUUGCCGACCAUGUUCGACAGUCUAGCUAGAAUAGUUGAAAAAAGAGAUACUGAAAUUUCAUUGAACAUAACAUUCCGCAAGGGAAAGGAAAGUGUCGAGGUGAAUGGGAAUGGAAAAGGGAAGGGCCACGCCCCAUAGGUAGUAGGCAAAAUUGAUUUUGAUGUUUCAAAAUAUUGCUUUGUUAUUUUUGUCCACAAAUAAAUUUUAAAUAGUAUGAUCUUAAUGUACUGCUAAGUACAUUUUUUAUUGGUUGCCUGUUCUGUGGUUGCAGACUGAUCUGCGUUUCUAGAGCCAUUCUGUUUUAGCACUUCAGGAGGCUGCAGAGGCUUACCUUGUUGGUCUAUUUGAGAACACCAACCUGUGUGCUAUUCAUGCCAAGCGUGUUACUAUCAUGCCUAAGGACAUCCAGCUGGCUUGUAGGAUUAGGGGUGAGAGGGCUUAAAUUGAGUAUAUUCUAUUGCUUAGGUUUGGUGGUGGUAAAUGGUGGCUAUGUUCAGUUUUAUCUUUAUUAAGUUUUAAAUAGGUAAUGGAUGUUUAAGAUGGUGGUUUUGGAGAACUUGUUUGGAUAAUGGCGGUGUGUGCUGUAAUGAAAUUGGUAAUCGUGUUUUGGAAUGCAAGUGGUGGUGUUAUAUUUGUGAACUAAUUUUCUGUUUGUUCACUGCUUGAGUUAAACUCACAAGGGAUGUAUAAGAUUUCCCAAUUUACCUUCUCUAUGAAAGACAUAAGAAUUCACUUUUAAU
rnacentral:lncRNA from 1 species